GACGAACGCUGGCGGCGUGCUUAACACAUGCAAGUCGAACGGAAAGGCCCGGCUUUUGUUGGGUUCUCGAGUGGCGAACGGGUGAGUGACACGUGAGUAACCUGCCCUUGUCUUUGGGAGAACUUCAGGAAACUCAGGCUCAUACCGGAUAGGAUCUCCUGCAGCGUGGUGGGGGUUGGAAAGUUUCGGCCGUUGGGGAUGGACUCGCGGCUUAUGAGCUUGUUGGUGUGGUAGUCGCGUACCAAGGCUUCGACGGGUAGCCGGCAUGAGAGGGUGAACGGGCACCAUGGGCCUGCGAUACGGCGCAGAAGGCAACCGGAGGCAGCAGGGGAAAAUAUUGCACAGCGGGCGGAAGCGUGAGACAGAGGCGUCGGGAGCGUGAUGACCGCCUUCGGGUUGUGAACCGCUGUCGAAUGUGACGAAGAGGGAGUGACGGUAACGGGUCAAGAAGCACCGGCUAACUACGUG
rnacentral:rRNA from 1 species